UUAUCAANCUUUUCGAUGGUAGGAUAGAGGCCUACCCAUGGUGGUAACGGGGUAACGGGGUGUUAGGGCACGACACCGGAGAGGGAGCCUGAGAAACGGCUACCACNUCCAAGGAUGGCAGCAGGCGCGCAAAUUACCCAAUCCCGACACGGGGAGGUAGUGACAAUAAAUAACAAUACGGGGUUCUUUAGGAUCUCGUAAUUGGAAUGAGUACAAUUUAAAUCUCUUAACGAGGAACAAUUGGAGGGCAAGUCUGGUGCCAGCAGCCGCGGUAAUUCCAGCUCCAAUAGCGUAUAUUAAAGUUGUUGCAGUUAAAAAGCUCGUAGUUGAAUUUCGGGGUUAGUAGGUUGGUCAUGCCUCUGGUAUGUACUGGUCUCACUGAUUCCUCCUUCCUUAUGAACCGUAAUGCCAUUAAUUUGGUGUUGCGGGAAUUUGGACUGUUACUUUGAAAAAAUUAGAGUGUUUAAAGCAAGCUAACGCUUGAAUACAUUAGCAUGGAAUAAUGAAAUAGGACGUUCGAUCUUAUUUUGUUGGUUUCUGGGAUUGACGUAAUGAUUAAUAGGGAUAGUUGGGGGCAUUAGUAUUCAAUUGUCAGAGGUGAAAUUCUUGGAUUUAUUGAAGACUAACUACUGCGAAAGCAUUUGCCAAGGAUGUUUUCAUUAAUCAAGAACGAAAGUUAGGGGAUCGAAGACGAUCAGAUACCGUCGUAGUCUUAACCAUAAACUAUGCCGACUAGGGAUCGGAUGAUGUUAAUUUUAUAAUGACUCAUUCGGCGCCUUACGGGAAACACAAAGUG
rnacentral:rRNA from 1 species